AAAAGUUUUGAAUUUAAUGUUUGAACUCUUGAAUCUUUUUAAAUCUACACCCAUGGAUUUGUGUUAUCCCACGCACAGCAACGACCGACACCACAAAUAGAUAAUCUUUAUGUUUCUCAAUUCAUCCGUAACGGAAUCAGUGGCAUCUGUGAAGGUUUUACCACUCACUUUGUUCAGAAAUCGAUUGAUGAAGUAUGGUUAUUAUCAGUGAUGCCAACGAUGAUGCCGUCACAGAUGAAUUGAGACGCAUAAGGUAUAUUAUAACACAAACAAGGAAAUAAAAGUUAGAUAAUACAAUUCAAAGG